ACAGCAUGCUGUUUCGCUGACGAGUGGCGGACGGGUGAGUAAUGUCUGGGAAACUGCCUGAUGGAGGGGGAUAACUACUGGAAACGGUAGCUAAUACCGCAUAACGUCGCAAGACCAAAGAGGGGGACCCUCGGGCCUCUUGCCAUCGGAUGUGCCCAGAUGGGAUUAGCUUGUUGGUGGGGUAACGGCUCACCAAGGCGACGAUCCCUAGCUGGUCUGAGAGGAUGACCAGCCACACUGGAACUGAGACACGGUCCAGACUCCUACGGGAGGCAGCAGUGGGGAAUAUUGCACAAUGGGCGCAAGCCUGAUGCAGCCAUGCCGCGUGUAUGAAGAAGGCCUUCGGGUUGUAAAGUACUUUCAGCGGGGAGGAAGGGAGUAAAGUUAAUACCUUUGCUCAUUGACGUUACCCGCAGAAGAAGCACCGGCUAACUCCGUGCCAGCAGCCGCGGUAAUACGGAGGGUGCAAGCGUUAAUCGGAAUUACUGGGCGUAAAGCGCACGCAGGCGGUUUGUUAAGUCAGAUGUGAAAUCCCCGGGCUCAACCUGGGAACUGCAUCUGAUACUGGCAAGCUUGAGUCUCGUAGAGGGGGGUAGAAUUCCAGGUGUAGCGGUGAAAUGCGUAGAGAUCUGGAGGAAUACCGGUGGCGAAGGCGGCCCCCUGGACGAAGACUGACGCUCAGGUGCGAAAGCGUGGGGAGCAACCAGGAUUAGAUACCCUGGUAGUCCACGCCGUAAACGAUGUCGACUUGGAGGUUGUGCCCUUGAGGCGUGGCUUCCGGAGCUAACGCGUUAAGUCGACCGCCUGGGGAGUACGGCCGCAAGGUUAAAACUCAAAUGAAUUGACGGGGGCCCGCACAAGCGGUGGAGCAUGUGGUUUAAUUCGAUGCAACGCGAAGAACCUUACCUGGUCUUGACAUCCACGGAAGUUUUCAGAGAUGAGAAUGUGCCUUCGGGAACCGUGAGACAGGUGCUGCAUGGCUGUCGUCAGCUCGUGUUGUGAAAUGUUGGGUUAAGUCCCGCAACGAGCGCAACCCUUAUCCUUUGUUGCCAGCGGUCCGGCCGGGAACUCAAAGGAGACUGCCAGUGAUAAACUGGAGGAAGGUGGGGAUGACGUCAAGUCAUCAUGGCCCUUACGACCAGGGCUACACACGUGCUACAAUGGCGCAUACAAAGAGAAGCGACCUCGCGAGAGCAAGCGGACCUCAUAAAGUGCGUCGUAGUCCGGAUUGGAGUCUGCAACUCGACUCCAUGAAGUCGGAAUCGCUAGUAAUCGUGGAUCAGAAUGCCACGGUGAAUACGUUCCCGGGCCUUGUACACACCGCCCGUCACACCAUGGGAGUGGGUUGCAAAAGAAGUAGGUAGCUUAACCUUCGGGAGGGCGCUUACCACUUUGUGAUUCAUGACUGGGUGAAGUCGUAACAAGGUA
rnacentral:rRNA from 1 species